UGUAUUAGUUUUAUUAGUUUGAAAUUAAUCUGUGUAUGUUUAUCUGUAUGUUUUUUAAUUGGUAUGAUAAAUACGGGCGGACUGAAAUGAUGCCAUGUUGAUUGUCUGCCAUUUCCAACUUUGGAAUGUCUGAGAUUCAAUUCAAUUCAGUUAUGAAUUUUAUUUCUAUAUGAUUCAUUCUGUGUUUUGAAAUGUUUUAGUGAAAUUGUAUUGAUACUGCUAUGAUGAUGUUGCACCAAUUAUGUCUGGACAUAUGAAGUUUUAUUGUGAUAUAAUUUGCUACUUUCUGAGCAGUAUUAUUACAUUUAAUCAUUUGUGUUUUUUAUUUUUUAUUUUAAUUGGCCAAAU
rnacentral:lncRNA from 1 species